rnacentral:rRNA from 1 species
UGCAAGUCGAACGAUGAAGCCCAGCUUGCUGGGUGGAUUAGUGGCGAACGGGUGAGUAACACGUGAGUAACCUGCCCUUGACUCUAGGAUAAGCCCGGGAAACUGGGUCUAAUACUGGAUAGGAACGUCUACCGCAUGGUGGGUGUUGGAAAGAAUUUCGGUCAUGGAUGGACUCGCGGCCUAUCAGCUUGUUGGUGAGGUAAUGGCUCACCAAGGCGACGACGGGUAGCCGGCCUGAGAGGGUGACCGGCCACACUGGGACUGAGACACGGCCCAGACUCCUACGGGAGGCAGCAGUGGGGAAUAUUGCACAAUGGGCGAAAGCCUGAUGCAGCGACGCCGCGUGAGGGAUGACGGCCUUCGGGUUGUAAACCUCUUUCAGUAGGGAAGAAGCGAAAGUGACGGUACCUGCAGAAGAAGCACCGGCUAACUACGUGCCAGCAGCCGCGGUAAUACGUAGGGUGCGAGCGUUAUCCGGAAUUAUUGGGCGUAAAGAGCUCGUAGGCGGUUUGUCGCGUCUGUCGUGAAAGUCCGGGGCUUAACCCCGGAUCUGCGGUGGGUACGGGCAGACUAGAGUGCAGUAGGGGAGACUGGAAUUCCUGGUGUAGCGGUGGAAUGCGCAGAUAUCAGGAGGAACACCGAUGGCGAAGGCAGGUCUCUGGGCUGUAACUGACGCUGAGGAGCGAAAGCAUGGGGAGCGAACAGGAUUAGAUACCCUGGUAGUCCAUGCCGUAAACGUUGGGCACUAGGUGUGGGGAACAUUCCACGUUUUCCGCGCCGCAGCUAACGCAUUAAGUGCCCCGCCUGGGGAGUACGGCCGCAAGGCUAAAACUCAAAGGAAUUGACGGGGGCCCGCACAAGCGGCGGAGCAUGCGGAUUAAUUCGAUGCAACGCGAAGAACCUUACCAAGGCUUGACAUGUUCUCGAUCGCCGUAGAGAUACGGUUUCCCCUUUGGGGCGGGUUCACAGGUGGUGCAUGGUUGUCGUCAGCUCGUGUCGUG